AAAGUAUGAUGGACUUACUAGGAGAUGUUCAGUAUAUAUGGACUCCAGUUAUGGUUGUGUUAUUUAUUUAUGCACACCUUACGUUUCAUAAAUUGAUUGAAGGAAUUGUAUGGAGGGUGGCUGCGUGGUGUUCUUCGCGGACAGAAUAAGCUAAGCUGUUCAUUGAGUUGAAGGCAUUGUCUCUGUAACAAAGCUUGCAUCACAUAGUGAUACAUGAGAGAAUGUACAUCGCCAACAUGUAAGGGAGAUGGUUAAGGAAAUAGUACUGACUGUAACUGAAGUUGGAAGACUGGACUACAAUGUUUUCCUUGACGUGAAGACAAUAGAGGGGAUGUAUGAAAUUAGUUCGAGUCUAAUGGAGGCUUUAUCUGUCAUCAAACUCCACUGAAUCGCACGAGAUCUCAACUGCACCCGCCGCUGCGAGAAAUUUGCUGGAAGAGGUCUCCAAGAUAUUGACAAUGAAUAAAUGAUAUGAGAGGAUGCUGCCACGGCAAAUACUGGUCCCUUACCCCUUAUCCAACAUUUUCAAAGCUGUUGGAGAUUAGGUGGUGACGGUGUCUUCAUCUAAAGAUAUGCUGGGCCUACUUUGUGAUCAAAGAGAAGAAAGAUAAAAAGGUAGCACAACACGCACACACCCCAAAAGAUCAAUCUAAUGAUCGAAGCAGACGACACAUUUUAAUUGCUCCAACGAUGUGUCAUCUAGCAUGUUGUGUUCUUCACUUCUUCUAUAGAAACACCAAAGAUUUCUACAUCCAUACAGUUGACAGUUGGUAUUCUCCAUACAAAACGCGAUUGUCGGUUUUGCCAGGUACAGGUAAGAAUGCUCUAGCUCUCUUUGCUUAUUUCGCUUGGUUUCUUCCUGAUAUAAUAUUAUGUUAUUUGACAAGUGUUUUGGUUUCUACCGAAAGAUUCCUACAAUGGUAUGCCAUGAUCAAUUGCUUCUUUACUAAUUUGAUGUUCUUGACAAGAUCAAUUGCUUCUUUACUAAUUUGUUGUUCUUUCCCUGGGACCAUAUAAGUGUCGGAAUUGAUCUGGUCUUCCCUCUAUUCAGUUCUUACAUUCAACUACUUUUACAUGGUGCACAAUCUAAAUUCUCGCAGUGGAUCUACUAUUUA